rnacentral:rRNA from 1 species
AUGGAAAACCCUGUUGAUGCACCUAAACCCUAUCAAUGGAUAUGGAAAUCAUGCUCUUUACCAAAGCAGAAAUUCUUCUUCUGGCUCUUGUUACAAGACAGAUUAAACACUAGAGAUCUACUAAAAAGGAAGAAUUUCUACAUUGAGACUAGUAAGUGUGAAUUAUGUGAUGAUGAACCUAAUGAACAUUUAAUGCAUUUGUUUUUUAGCUGUGAUUUCAGUCAAAACUUCUGGAUGAACAUUGGCUACCAAUGGAACACUGAUCAUAACCUCAUAGAAAUGCUCCUGGAGGGAAGGAAGCAAGAUACACAUGGAUGCUUUAAAGAAUGUCUAAUUGCUGGAUGCUGGAGUCUAUGGAAACACAGAAAUAGCAUAAUUUUUGACAACAAGGUCAAAAAUAUGACAUUCUGUAUUGCCACUUUCAAGGAGCACUUUUGCAUGAUUAUAAAGAAGGCAAAACCAGGAUUGAAAGAGGGCAUGCAAAGCUGGCUAGAUCAUUUGUAG